CGGAUGUAGCCAAGUGGAUCAAGGCA
rnacentral:tRNA from 1 species